AAAUUGAAGAGUUUGAUCAUGGCUCAGAUUGAACGCUGGCGGCAGGCCUAACACAUGCAAGUCGAACGGUAACAGGAAGCAGCUUGCUGCUUUGCUGACGAGUGGCGGACGGGUGAGUAAUGUCUGGGAAACUGCCUGAUGGAGGGGGAUAACUACUGGAAACGGUGGCUAAUACCGCAUAACGUCGCAAGACCAAAGAGGGGGACCUUCGGGCCUCUUGCCAUCAGAUGUGCCCAGAUGGGAUUAGCUUGUUGGUGAGGUAACGGCUCACCAAGGCGACGAUCCCUAGCUGGUCUGAGAGGAUGACCAGCCACACUGGAACUGAGACACGGUCCAGACUCCUACGGGAGGCAGCAGUGGGGAAUAUUGCACAAUGGGCGCAAGCCUGAUGCAGCCAUGCCGCGUGUAUGAAGAAGGCCUUCGGGUUGUAAAGUACUUUCAGCGGGGAGGAAGGUGUUGCGGUUAAUAACCGCAGCAAUU
rnacentral:rRNA from 1 species